GAUGAACGCUGGCGGCGUGCCUAAUACAUGCAAGUCGAGCGAACAGACGAGGAGCUUGCUCCUCUGACGUUAGCGGCGGACGGGUGAGUAACACGUGGAUAACCUACCUAUAAGACUGGGAUAACUUCGGGAAGCCGGAGCUAAUACCGGAUAAUAUAUUGAACCGCAUGGUUCAAUAGUGAAAGACGGUUUUGCUGUCACUUAUAGAUGGAUCCGCGCCGCAUUAGCUAGUUGGUAAGGUAACGGCUUACCAAGGCGACGAUGCGUAGCCGACCUGAGAGGGUGAUCGGCCACACUGGAACUGAGACACGGUCCAGACGCCUAAGGGAGGCAGCAGUAGGGAAUCUUCCGCAAUGGGCGAAAGCCUGACGGAGCAACGCCGCGUGAGUGAUGAAGGUCUUCGGAUCGUAAAACUCUGUUAUUAGGGAAGAACAAAUGUGUAAGUAACUAUGCACGUCUUGACGGUACCUAAUCAGAAAGCCACGGCUAACUACGUG
rnacentral:rRNA from 1 species